AUGGGACUGGGUCUUCCCCCCCCACUGGGCAGCUGGAACUGCCACCUGGGGCCGGGCACUGAUUCGAGGCCACGUUAACGACAGAAGAGCUGGUCUGGGGAUUUCGUGCCGGUCGUUAGCAGAGGUCACAAGCCGCGAUCGUUACGGUUAAUUUCACGGAUGCAGAGCAAACGAAGGAAGUGAAUGGGUCUGCCUGUGUCCCUUGACAGUGAGAGAGAGCUGGGGAAGUUUGGAUGCUGAGACCCAAGGAAAGAAGACAAGGAAAGAGGAGGAAAAGACAGAGAGAGACAAGAGGAAAGAGACAAAAGGUCAGAGAAAGAAAGACAGAGAAAAACAGAAGAGAAAGAAAAAUAGAAAGAGGGAAAGUCACAGAAGGAAAGACAGAGGGAAACAGGAGAGAAAGCCAAUAAAAGACAGAAGGGGAAAGUAAGAGAGAGGAGGAGGAAAUUCUGGUCGACCUCUUCAUUACAAGUUAGUUGAGCAAAAUGUAAACACAGAAUCACACUCCACCAACCAGUUUGGAUUUCAAAGUCUGCAGCAAAUUGGGCGUAUCUGGGCAAAGGCUAAAAAUUAACCAGGCAUUUCUGUUUCAAUUGGAAACAAAACAAAACAAAACAAAAAAUACGCAAAGGGAGGAACUGAAAAACAAACCAACCCACCCCCAAAGAAACACCCACUUUCAAAAAAAUAUAUAUAAUAAAAAGGAGACAGAGGGGAAAAUCUGAAAGACAUCAAAGCAUCUGGGGUAGGAACAAAUGACAAGAGGGGUUGAAAAGAACCGAGUGACUAACCCUCCGAGAGAGAGAACCGGCUUCCUGCCUGGGACAGUGCCCACUGAAAUUGCAGGAUUAUUUCCACCGCCACAUAGUGAAAAAGUGCCCAGCACUGCCGAGUUAUAUGUUCUGCGGUUUACAUGCCAUCAGCACAAACCCCCAAAACCUAGCCGACAAAAGAAACCGACAAAAUCCAGACGGGUUCUCGGUGACCAUCAAAGCGAAAGGGAAAGGAAAAAUCCCCUCUGAAUGAAAUCGAGUCGCUUUCCCUCCCACAUCCUGAGUCUUUUCUCUUUCCAUUUUUUUUUUAAAGUUGCCGUUUGCACAGCAGUGGGCAUUUCACAGGCGCGUGUGCACAAGCACACCCCCCCGUGCAAAACAGGGGGCUUUUCACCAGGGAUCGUGAGCAUGAAGACGAGGGCAAGCCACGAACCACCCCAGAUUGCCCAGACUGUUGAGGGUGCUGAUGCUGAGGGUACAUUUGCACGAUAAACAACAGAGACCAAUUUGUUAAUUACGGAGACAAAGGUUCAAGGAGGGAAUUAAAAACAAAAAAAGGAGAAAGAAACAGCUCGAUUCCUUGGACAAUUCAAUCUCAAAACAAGCAGCAGUGAUGGGGGACGGUUGUUAGGGGGUGGGGGGGGUCGUAGGACUUACCAGGAGUGUGAACAAAAUACGCCAAGUAAAGAUCCAGUUCUUUAAUUGUGACUCCAAUGUGGUGCGGCUGGACACAGAGGCCUGGGUUGGAGCACUGUGGUGAUUUGUACAACCGCUCUCCGUCAGUACUUUCGAGCGGGAUCCCUUUGAAUAAGAUGACCAUUACAAGAUCCAGUCUCCAAACCUUGUCGGCCUGCCUCAGGCAGUCAAUCCUGCGGAUUUUGCCCUUCUGGUCCGGGUUGGAGAGGACGCAGCAUGGGGCUUUCUUACCGGUGAUGGUCAGGACGAAAUCCUCCCGAAACUCGGGGCGGAUGUCUUUGCGGAGUUUGGCCAGUAGCCGCGAUGCCCAUUUCUGCUUGAUCUCUGGUUUCUCCCCCAACAGCUCAUCCUUCACGGCGCGCUCCUCAUCCUUGGACAUCCGCUUCUCGUGCUUCUUGAAGUACUUUCGCUUCCGAGCUUGCAGGUUGAACCAUGUGUAGGAGAAGGCACGCACAUGAGGGAGGAGAGCUUCGAUGAAAGGGUGGAAUUCAUCCUGGAGGGGGUGGUGGAAGAGGGUGAAAAGAGGGAACGAGACAAAAGGGGGGGAAGGUUAGAAUGAGAAAACGGAGGAAUGCUAUUUUUAAAAAAACCCACAACCUUCCCGACCAGUUGCGCCGGCCGACGCGACUCACUCGAUCCCGAGAACAGAGACGGCGCGGAGAACCGAGUUCAGAGCACGGCCGAGCCAGCCACACAACACAAGACCAGCCCAGAAGAGAAUCCACCUCAGUUGGGACAGCGGUGGGUGUUAAUUUUUUAAAUCUUUUCCAUCUUCCGCCUUCCCCUCCCCCAGCUGCAAAA